CUAAAGUUCCCGCUCAGACUUUACAUUCAGGAGGGUGAAAGUAGAUGGUAAAGGAAAAGGGCCAAAAAAAUUUUCCUGUUUCCAUGCAGAAAAAGGAAAAAUUGCCUUCUACCUCACAAAUGCAGGUUUUUCGGAGCAAGGUAGUUCUUGAAUCCCACCCCCACCCCGUCUUUCAGAAAUUCCUCGUUUGGAUUUGGGGCCUUAGACCCCGGGCUUCCCCAGGAAACAAUCAGAAUAAUUUCCAACUGGGUGGAAGGAAACGGUAUUUCAAAUGAAAAAAUGAACAAGGGGGGCUCCGAGGGCAAUGACUCAGGGACUCGCGCCCUCCUUCACCACCCUUUCCCUUUUCAUCCGUAGGCUUUAGGUUCUGCGGCGCGUUGAGGUGGCGGGCAAGGAAGCAGCCUCUCCCUCCUCGCCCCGCGGGCGGCCUCGGCCCCCGGCGCCCGCGGGCCCUUUAAGAGCUACACCAGCCGAGCUGCAGUUUGACAUCAGCCGGCCGGCGUGGGCGCGCCUGGAGCCGGAGCACGUGCCAGGAUGUUUUAUUGCCGCCGCGGCUGCGGCCGGGCCGGGAGGAUGUGUGUGUGCGUGCGUGUGUGAGUGAGUGUGUGUGCGCGCGCCCCGGGGGCAGGGAGGCGGGGGGCGGCGACGGGCGGCGGAGAGCGGGGGCCGGUUCCUGGUCCCCGGGAGAAGCCAAGAAGGUAAAUAGCAGCUGCUGUGCUCGAGCCUGGGAAAACCCCGCCCCCUGCGCCUGGCCCGGGCUCAUUGGCGCGCGCUGCGUGUGGGGGGUGUGUGUGUGUGUGUGUCCGGGGCCCCCUCCUCCGGCCCCGCCGGGCCAGGAAUCCGAGGGGGCGGCGGGCUGGGAGCCGAGCCCCGGCGCUUACCCUCUCUCCCCACCCCCGCCUCCCCAGGCCAAGGUCAGCUCUUCCCGGCGGGGAGCGCACACCCGGGGUGGAGAGUGGGGAAUUCUUCCAACCCCCGCCUCCCCACCCUCACUUUCGGGCUUGGGGUUUUCACUCGGCCGAAAGCCGCAUUCGCAACAGCCCGGGGGCGAGGUGGGGGCCUCCAAGUUUGCUCCUCGCCCCCGCCCUCUCCCCGCGGGGCCCUGGGCGCCCGCCGCGGUCACGGGAUGCCUGACCGCACUUAGGAAGCGGCCGGGUCAGCCUCCUGCCUCCGCUCGGCGACUGCGGUUAAAGCGGCUUCGCGCCGCCCGCCCCUUCCCCGGGUCCCGGGCGGCCGGGCCGCUCCCCCUCACUACGCCCGGGAGGCCGCCGGCGGGCGCCCGGGAGGAGGCGGGCGGCGCGGGCGGCUGCGUGCUGCCUGCUGGCCGGGCCGCGCGCCGGGAGGAGUCGCCGCCGCCGCCGCCGGGUGCCACGUGGCGGGCGCCGGGCCGGGAGCGCCAGGGCUCUGGCGGCGGCCUCCCUGGGGGAUUUGCCGAGCCGGGCGGGCGGCGCGCACUGCCUGGGCCGGCCGGCCGCCUCCUCCGCCUCCCUCCCGCCUGCCCGGGUCGCCGGCCCCCGUGCCCCCACCCCCCCUCCGCCCUUCCCGCCGCCUGGGAGCUCGGCUCGCGGCUCCGGGCAGCCCGGGAGCCCAGCGUCUUGUUUGAUGUGGCCUCCCGCCCCCUCAGCCCUUCCCGCGUCCCGGAGGCCUGGCGCACGGUUCUCAGACACUUCAUUCCUUCCGGCCUCCCAGCUCCCCACUGAGAUAACGUUGUCAAUGAUUUCGCCAGAUCUCGUCCCGGAUGAGAUUCAGUGGUUCCUGACUCUGGGUGACCUUGGGCAAGCCCCCCUCUCUCUUUCAUUGUGGAACACACGCGCAGUGUCAGACACUGUGUUAAACCCUGGGAUUUCCACGGUGAGAGAUACAGUGGCGGCCUGCUAGAAGUUGACAGUAAACUGCGGGGGCAGACAGACGCUGAUUUUCUGAUUGAUGACUGGACAUUCCUUUAUUUUUCCUUUCUUUUCUGAGUUAGGUGGUGGCUUGAGAGAUCAGGAGGACAGAAACAAAAUAUGAAACCAUACUUGUAUGGAUAACAGUAUUGCUGGUCUACCUGGGUUUACAGCAGUGAGUAAGACCGUUAUUGCUCUCUGGAAGCUAACAGUCUAGAGAUACAUAUAAACGUGUACAGCUGACAUCUACGGAUGGCCCAGUAAAUUCCUCUGGGAAGUCGUAGGUUCAAGAGAGACGUAUGUCUGGAUAGAGGUAAAAUGCUAUGGAGUUUCAGGAGAAUUAAGUUACUUUUAAGUUGGGGUACCUUGGAAAACUUCCUGGAGGGAUUGGCCUGUGUACCUUGAAAAAUAGGUAGGAUUGGGGCAUUGGGAAUGUGCUUAGUCGUGGGCUGGAGAGGAUGCAGGUACCCAUGGUAUUAAAGGCCAAGAUCCUGGAACUUGAAGACUUUAUUCAGGGAACAUGGUCUGGAGCCUAGGGAAUGUGAGGGACUGGAAGAGGCAGCUUGAGGCCAUGUCACAAGCUCCUUAAACAUCUUGCUGAAGGACUUUGGACCUUAUCUUUAGACAGUGGAGAGCCAUGAAACAUUCUUGAGCAAAGAAGAGGCAUCAGGGUUUCCCUUUAGAAAGAUGGCUCUGGCAAAAGUGGGAGAGUGGAUUGCAGGGCUUGGAGGCAGAAAGGGCAGUUAGGCAGUUCAAGCCAGUGAAGAAGGUUCCUAGGAGGCAGGUGCAGACUGACUCCCAGAGGCAUCUGUCUACAUCCAGCUCCUCUGGACAUUGACCGCACGCUCUUGGGAACUGAGUUCAACUCAAACCUGCCUACCCUUUAAUGCAGUGUUCCCAACCCCCAACCAGGAACUCAGGAACUCAGAUUUAAUUCCUGAGUCUAACUAAGGAAUCAUGGCUCUGACCGUAUUAACCUAAGCCUCAUUUCCACCUUCCAGGAUAGUCCUCCAGUCUGCAACCAAACAUUUCCCUCAUCGAAGGCUUUGGUUUACUCACUGUUGCCCCUAAGGCUACUCUGAGAUUUUUUUUAAAAAAUGUUUUCUUACACUGCAGAGUGAGCUGUGCCCUGUCAUGUUCUGAAGAAAUGAUGAACAAUGCCUCCUUUGUUGACCUGCAACCUGGGCCAAAGGGGAAGGAAUUUUCUUUCUUAUUUUAAACAGAUGGAAAAGUGGUGAUGACAGAAAAUUGUCUGUUGCUUUUGGAAAACGUAGGGUUUUCCUGUGUGGUGAAAAUCCUCUUGGUGAAAGGUGAUGAGCCUAUGAAGUUACCCUCCUUUCUGCCAUGGCCCCAAUAAGCUUUGCAAGCUUCUUAAAAUGCUUCUACUGAGCGUCUGACUUUUUAAAAACUUCCCAAAUACACUGACCCAGAUUCUUCUGAGGAACUAAACCCUUCCCGGGGAAGCAUGUUAACCCUUUCCAGGUUCCCCCCAAAUCUUUCAGAACCAGUGCCUGCUCUGCUAGGCUCUGCCAGGCUCUGCCAUGACAUUGACUGCUGUCUGCUGGUCGGCCCUCAUUAACUACUGGGUUAUGCCACUCCCUGCCCAUUCUAAGAGACUUUUUCAUCUGAUUCUGUUCCCCACUCUUAUUUGGUGCCCUGAAGGUGCAUGGGGAAUGGAAUAUGGUCAAGUUAGGGUCUCACUGAAGGGGCUAAAGCAGCCUCGUGGGUCAAAUAGUUAAUCAGCAACUCGUUUAUUGCCACUUUGGGAGUGCUUGGACUGGUGGAAUGGGCAAGUAACUUUCACACACACGUUUUUAGAUAGGGGGACAGAGGCUCAAGUAACAAAAAAAAUUAUGAAUUUGUGUCUGGACCAAAAAUAAAUAAAUAAUAAAUAAAAAUAAAUUCCAGGAACUCUCUGGCUUUCCACUCUAACCAUUCAAGAAGAGUUUCUUGCAGAUGGGCUCACAGAUGACUUUUCAGUUUCCUUAUGCUAGGCAGUGAAAAUAGGACCAACGUUGUCCUCUCCCCACCCCUUCUCAAAUGGGACAGUAAGCUCCUAAACUCAGGAAGAAGCAUCUGCAUCUGGAAGAAUGCUCUUAGAUAGAUAGAAACAGCCUUUAUUUUUCAGUCAUCCUUUUCCCCCGACUCCCAAAGCAAAGAGAAAAUGGAGCCCAGUUCAUCAGUGGAGGUCACUUCUUUGAUCCCCCUGUGACACCAGCAUCGUUCUGAAUCGUUCUCACCGUGUCAUGCCCAAUACAUACAACCAGGGGCUCCCGCACUUGUCUCCACCCACAGCGUCCCCCCACCCCCGCCCCGGAAGGGCGACUUCUCUGUCUUACCGCAUCACCUGUUUGCUUUCAAACCAUAAAACAAAUAACUGCAUCUCUAGUGAAACUCCCCUUUGUCCCCUAGGUAUCAGAGUGGUUUGUGGGUUUGGUUUAAAGCUACAGAAAGGAGAGAGCAAGAGAAGAAGAAAAAAGAUUCCCUCCAGCCUGCCAGAGACGUGGUAGCUGCCCUGCCAAGAGCUAUCCUGGGAGGGCUAUUGAACGAGCUUUGAGUAAGUACACACACGGUGGAUUUUCUCCUCCCCUCGGUACCUGCUCUGCACCUGUACAGGGAGCAGUCCCACACAUAUCACCUGAUCACAGCCCUUUCAGGGACCGUGAGAAAAAUAAAGCCCAGGAUAGAAAAGACAUGUUUGUCAUCUCUCCAGGGCUGCAGCCAGCUUCCAGCAGUCCCAGUGCCCAGAAACAGCACAUUCCAGGCCGGCUGUGCAUGCAUGUUUGCUGGGGCGCGUGCCAGGUGGGGGUGCUGGGAAGGGGGGGGCAACUAGAGGUCACCUUUGUAAUGACCACCUUGCUGCCCCCGUUCUCUGGCAUGUGCUGACUGGUAGCUUGAGAACCCUCUACUAGAAUCAGUAUCAUAGUCUUUCUAGAUAGCAGUCUGUAUGUGCUGAUCGCAGAAUUCAUAACCAGGAUUUUUUUUUUUUUACCUAUAAAGCCCCUGAAAUGGAAUUUCAACGUGUGUCUGUAUGUGCAUAUUUAACAGGAGCUUAAUAAAUAUUUUCCAAAUGCAUAAAUGGAUGCAUCACGUUUUCUUUCUCCUGAGAAGAGGGUCCACAGCUUUCAG
rnacentral:lncRNA from 10 species